rnacentral:rRNA from 1 species
UACGGAGGGUGCGAGCGUUAUCCGGAUUCACUGGGUUUAAAGGGUGCGUAGGUGGGUCUGUAAGUCAGUGGUGAAAUCUCCGGGCUUAACCUGGAAACUGCCAUUGAUACUAUAGGUCUUGAAUUUUCUGGAGGUAAGCGGAAUAUGUCAUGUAGCGGUGAAAUGCUUAGAUAUGACAUAGAACACCAAUUGCGAAGGCAGCUUGCUACAGGGAUAUUGACACUGAGGCACGAAAGCGUGGGGAUCAAACAGG